GGAUGGGGGUGAAGACUCUGCAGAGCAGCAACCAUUUAUUGAACUUUGUUACCCUGGGAAGAGGACUAACCUUAAAGGAGUAACAUGGCUGGAGAUCUGGGGUGAGAACAACUAAUAAGGGUAUGAAAGAUAUGAAUGUGAAGGUUCUUUGUCAGACCCUACUAUCAUGCUGGAGUAGGCCAGGAUGAGACUGUCAUCCCUAGGUCUGGCCUAUUUGACGGGAUAGUUCUGUCAGAACUGGAACUGGCCCCUGAAAACUCAGGCCAUGUGACAUGAGAGACUCUGCUACUCAGCUAAGGCACCUGGGAUGUUUGCCCACCUGUUGCUAGGAACCAGUGAGCCUGCAGAUUUUUUUGGAAAAUGUUCUUGAAAACCCCUCUGUGAUCCCCAGCUGGCACAUCCAGACCCCCAAGUCCCAAGGGAGAGAAUCCCCGUCAGCCUCCCACAGGUACCCAUCAAUUCCAGCAAUGGGAGAGCUCACCUAGAC